CAGGACCUGUAUUACAAGAACCCCCAGUUAGAAGAUGAGUUUACGAGCACAAGUCUUUCGAAAGAGAACAUAAAUUUAAGGUUCUAAUUGUUGAACGAAAAGGAUCAGAGGAAUCAACAAUGAUGGCAUCAUACUUCCCUUGCUUUGCA